AUAAAGGUCAAAAGCACUGCAGGUCUGCGUUUCUCAGAUUGAGCUACCAACAUUACAUGGAAAAUGUUGGAAAGGAAGGAAAUUAUCCCUUUCCAUUUCUGCCAUUGCAUUUAUCUUGAUUCCCCUGGAUUUUACGGGGACAAAUUGUAGUGAAGUCAAGAAGGGGAGCAUGCUAUCUGACUUGAGGCAGUGAAACUGAGAUUUAUUGCAUAAGCAGCAGUGUAACCACAGGUGGCUCAAAGGAGGAAUCAGAAGUGUCUUGAAUGCUGUACCUGUUCAGAUUUGCAUCAUAUCUUCACUGAAUUCUGUUUGGAUAGCAGCUCAGUUGGUACGUGAGUGAUGAUCAGGUUUUUGAUGACUGGAUGUUGAUGGAAAAGGAAAGGAAGUAAACCCAGUGUUCUGCUGUUUAAGUCCUAAGUAGACAGUACUGGCUCCUUUAUUCUGGAGUUUGACCUAGUAAAAACUCACUCUGACUUUUCAGAAGGCUUAAGAUCCUAAAUCCCUCUGGCAAUUUUAAAA
rnacentral:lncRNA from 1 species